rnacentral:rRNA from 1 species
UACCGAGUGAGGGCCCUCUGGGUCCAACCUCCCACCCGUGUUUAUUGUACCUUGUUGCUUCGGGGGCCCGCCUCACGGCCGCCGGGGGGCUUCUGCCCUCUGGCCCGCGCCCGCCGAAGACACCAUUGAACACUGUCUGAAGAUUGCAGUCUGAGCAAUUAGCUAAAUAAGUUAAAACUUUCAACAACGGAUCUCUUGGUUCCGGCAUCGAUGAAGAACGCAGCGAAAUGCGAUACGUAAUGUGAAUUGCAGAAUUCAGUGAAUCAUCGAGUCUUUGAACGCACAUUGCGCCCCUUGGUAUUCCGGGGGGCAUGCCUGUCCGAGCGUCAUUGCUGCCCUCAAGCACGGCUUGUGUGUUGGGCCCCGUCCUCCUUCCCGGGGGACGGGCCCGAAAGGCAGCGGCGGCACCGCGUCCGGUCCUCGAGCGUAUGGGGCUUUGUCACCCGCUCUUGUAGGCCCGGCCGGCGCUUGCCGACAACCAUCAAUUUUUUUCAGGUUGACCUCGGAUCAGGUAGGGAUACCCGCUGAACUUAAGCAUAUCAAUAAGCGG